UCUGAAAUAGCUCAGUUGGUAGAGCGUCAGACUAUAAAUCGAAAAGCCCUUGGUUCGUUCCCGGGUUCCGGCA
rnacentral:tRNA from 1 species